UACGAAGGGGGGCUAGCGUUGUUCGGAAUUACUGGGCGUAAAGCGCACGUAGGCGGAUUGUUAAGUGAGGGGUGAAAUCCCAGGGCUCAACCCUGGAACUGCCUUUCAUACUGGCAAUCUCGAGUCCGAGAGAGGUGAGUGGAAUUCCGAGUGUAGAGGUGAAAUUCGUAGAUAUUCGGAGGAACACCAGUGGCGAAGGCGGCUCACUGGCUCGGUACUGACGCUGAGGUGCGAAAGCGUGGGGAGCAAAACAGG
rnacentral:rRNA from 1 species